CAGCCGCCGCGGUAAUACGGAGGGGGCUAGCGUUGUUCGGAAUUACUGGGCGUAAAGCGCACGUAGGCGGCUUUGUAAGUUAGAGGUGAAAGCCUGGAGCUCAACUCCAGAAUUGCCUUUAAGACUGCAUCGCUUGAAUCGCGGAGAGGUGAGUUGAAUUCCGAGUGUAGAGGUGAGAUUCGUAGAUAUUCGGAAGAACACCAGUGGCGAAGGCGGCUCACUGGACGCGUAUUGACGCUGAGGUGCGAAAGCGUGGGGAGCAAACAGGAUUAGAUACCCGAGUAGUCCCUGUCUCUUAUAC
rnacentral:rRNA from 1 species